GCAGCAUUGGCAGCUGCUUGGCGUACGGCCUGAUUGGACAUGACUUCGGUGGCGAACUCUGCCUGAGCCUUCUGGAAGCUGGCAUCGGUUUGCCUGUACAUACUGUGGAUCUGAAGCGGAGAGGGGAAAAGUACAUUGAAGCUGCUUGCUAUCUGCUGAAUGUAUGACAUGAGGCGGGCCGACAAGACGAAGCACGUUCCCAGGAAGUACCCCAUGACGUCAUAGAGCUACAAAACUCAGCGUGCAGCACUGGCCUUCCUAUUUGCCUGAAGCCCUCCAUAGGCUACACUGGAGAAGACAUACACAUGAACGUCUUGAUCUCGCUGGCCAAGUAAAAGACUGCAUCUUCAAAGAAAACCUUGGAUCCAAAGUUAUCCAAGACUGGGUAGAUAAGGCAACCAGGAGAACCAAGACGUCCCUCUCCCCAGCAGGACUCUCCUGUUUGAUCCAAGGUGCUCCCCGGCCAAAAAGUAUAGUCCCUCCAGCCAGUUUUGGAUUGUGACAUGUCCAGAAAUCCUUCAAAGGAACAUACUCAAGAAACAUCCUUAUUAGAGACCCAAAACUCCUUAACUGACUCCUUUUAAUGCAGAGGAACAAAGACUCCGUUCCAAGAUGACGUAGCUACCUUAUCUCUAGUUGAGCCCAGACACCCUUCAAAUUAAGCUCAUUCCAGCUGCUUGUAUCCGGGAUCUCAUUCUUUCACUUUUGAUCCAUAUAUGUCAUUGCCGUAGGUUAGGGUCAGAAUGUAGUUGGAUGGAUAAAAUGAAGAGCAUUGUUGAAGUGCAUUGUCGGCUUUAGUCCAUAUAUGUCUCCCUGCAUCCUACCAGC